rnacentral:lncRNA from 1 species
CCAUGCUUUCAAUGUCACCUGUUGUUGUUGGGUUCGGAACUGUACCGGCAAAACGCCGAAUUUCUCUUUCCUAUCAAACAAUCAUCGAGUUAACACAAGGUUAGAUACUUCAUUCACCAUAAUAUCAUUUCAGUGAUAUCUCUCUAGCCCCACUCUUGUGGAAUGAACCGAUUAGGAAAUAGUUCUAUUGUUGAAAAUGUCAUUAUGCAACAUUAUUUUAAUAAUGCGUUGUCUAACAUUCUCACCACGCCGUGUAUUAUUGUUCGACCAAUGAUAGGCUGAUUAGUUUCAUUUUCUUGAGCAUUAAGGCAUUUCCAAUCACAGAAGAAGGGUGUUUGAAGGACACGGUGUGGUGCACCAGGCCACCUUGCUCUGCCAAAGACAUCUGUAUACUCGGUUUUAUCGUAUUCAAUCAGUUUCCGCUUGUACGUAGGGUGCGCAUAGCUUUCAUGAGUUGC